GACGAACGCUGGCGGCGUGCUUAACACAUGCAAGUCGAACGGAAAGGCCCUGCCUGCAGGGUACUCGAGUGGCGAACGGGUGAGUAACACGUGGGUGAUCUGCCCUGCACUUCGGGAUAAGCUUGGGAAACUGGGUCUAAUACCGGAUAGGAACCAUCUUUAGUGUGGUGGUUGGAAAGUUUUUUCGGUGUAGGAUGAGCUCGCGGCCUAUCAGCUUGUUGGUGGGGUAAUGGCCUACCAAGGCGGCGACGGGUAGCCGGCCUGAGAGGGUGUACGGCCACAUUGGGACUGAGAUACGGCCCAGACUCCUACGGGAGGCAGCAGUGGGGAAUAUUGCACAAUGGGCGCAAGCCUGAUGCAGCGACGCCGCGUGGGGGAUGAAGGCCUUCGGGUUGUAAACUCCUUUCGCUAGGGACGAAGCUUUGUUGUGACGGUACCUAGAUAAGAAGCACCGGCUAACUACGUG
rnacentral:rRNA from 1 species